GGGCUAUUAGCUCAGUGGUAGGGCGAGGUCUCUGGUUCAAGUCCAGGAUGGCCCA
rnacentral:tRNA from 1 species